AAUAACUUCCCACUACUACUGAAAUGAGAAAGUGGAAAAAUAACCUCCUUACUGCUAAUAACUGCUAAUAACUACUACUACAGAGAAAACAACUGCUACAGGAAAACACUGUUACAGAACCUAUUACAGAGAAAACAGAAAAACAUAAUUAAUAGCUACUGAUUUAAUUUCCAUGCAUAAAAUUGUUGGUAGACUAAAAGGGUACUAACAUUACUCCCCUUCUUCAAAUCGCGCUUGUCCUCAAGCGCCAAGUGUGGAAAGUAAUUCUUCUUCAUCGUUAAUGAAAUCAAUCCAGAAUAACUUCUUGCACUGAUGACCUCGAGUGAAUGGUUCAUCACAGUUGAAACAAAGUCCCUUAAGUCGUCUUUCCUCCAUUUCAGAUCUGGUCAGUUUCUUCACAAAUCUAACAUGUUGUUGAGGUGAGAAAUCUGCUGUCUUUGAUUUGCAAGCAUCUAACAAUUGCGAACAAAUGGGUUGUUCCUUGCGUUCAUAAAGUCGGGAUAAACUCAUCGCCGUAGCCAAAUCUGGAGGAUUAUGCAACUCAACCUCAAUUGCUAUAUAAUCAGUAAGACCGCUGAUAUAAAGUUCAAUUUUUUGUGACUGCGUAAGUGUACCAGCCCGCGAAAUUAACUGCUCAAAUGUUUCUUGGUAAUCUGCCACAGACCCGAUCUGGCGUAGCUUAGCCAAUUCUCCCAAUUUCUGACUUCUGAUUGGUGGCCCAAAACGAAGGUUACAAUGACGUUUGAAGUCAUCCCAAGACAGUUGAGGCAGAUCUGUCUCUAAUUGAAGAAACCAAAGUUGUGCAUUGCCCUCCAAAUGAAAAGAAGCAAGUCCAACCUUUUCUUCUUCCAGUGUUUGUUGGUGUCGAAAAAAGUGUUCACACCUGUUCAACCAUCCCAAAGGGUCCUCUUGGCCAUUAAAUCGUGGGAAAUCCAGUUUUGUAUGUCGAGGAAUGAUGAAACUUCCACCUGUUUCUGAUCCUGACCCCCCUGCCACUCUGUUUUUACCCUUCCAACCGCGAUUCUGACUGAUAUGUUCAGUUGAAUCAGAAUCGACCUUAGAAUUUACUAAAUCCUGUGUUAGUGCAUCCAAGCGAGCAUUUGUUGCUUCAUGUCUGGCUAAAUUGGCUGCACGUUCUUCUUGGAACAAAUUCACUAAUUGUGCUAGUUGAUGUUGAAUUUGGUCUCCCAUAAACCUCGGCUCUGAUACCAAGUUGUUAUGGUCCCCGGUUAUGGAUCUAGUUAUGGGACGCUGCAAGAUAAAUUCUGAAGUUUUCUUUUUUCUACCUAUGGUGCUGGUUCGUUAAGAGAGAACCUGCGAUCUCUUGAGUUUGAAGUACUCAAAAACUUGACUAACUUUCUGCUUGCCUUUUCCAUUGAAUUCAAAUAACUUAAAUACAACAUUGGUGAUUAACCACCCACCUAAUAACAAGGAAAUAACUUCCCACUACUACUGAAAUGAGAAAGUGGAAAAAUAACCUCCUUACUGCUAAUAACUGCUAAUAACUACUACUACAGAGAAAACAACUGCUACAGGAAAACACUGUUACAGAACCUAUUACAGAGAAAACAGAAAAACAUAAUUAAUAGCUACUGAUUUAAUUUCCAUGCAUAAAAUUGUUGGUAGACUAAAAGGGUACUAACAA
rnacentral:lncRNA from 1 species